GCCCAGUGCCUGGCUCCCCCGGAUGUUGUUGCACAGCCGUUUCCGGGGCGCUGGGAGGAGAAGUAGGUCUCCUAAUGGGUCGUAGCCGCAGCCGAUCCCCGCGGAGGGUACCAGAGCAGCGGAGAGCCGGGCCCUUUCCUCCCGAGUGGUGGAUGAGGGAAUGAAGACCGGGGCCCUGCGCUCGUCGGCCCUGACCCAGCGGUUAUAAGGCAGCUUGGGGGGUUUCGUGUCUCUGAAUUAGGGUGUCACCGACUUGCGGUCCGCCUAUGCGAACGCAGGCGAUCCCGGUCUACUUCCCGGGAGAGAGAGCGCCGGCGCCGGGAACGGUCCCGAUCCCGGGAGAGAGAUCGAAGGAGAAGCCGCUCCAGGUCCCCGCAUAGGCGGCGCUCCAGAUCUCCACGACGACACAGAUCCACGUCUCCUUCCCCUUCACGGCUGAAGGAAAGAAGAGACGAGGAAAAGAAGGAAACGAAAGAAACAAAGAGCAAAGAACGUCAGAUCACUGAGGAAGACUUAGAAGGCAAAACAGAGGAAGAAAUAGAAAUGAUGAAGUUAAUGGGAUUUGCCUCUUUUGACUCCACAAAAGGGAAGAAGGUAGAUGGCUCCGUAAAUGCCUAUGCUAUAAAUGUAUCUCAGAAGAGGAAAUACAGGCAGUACAUGAAUAGAAAAGGUGGAUUCAACAGACCUCUGGAUUUUAUUGCAUGAGAACUAAAAUACUGAAGAAUGAUUUUCCCCCUCGUCUUGGUUGGAGAGUGGAUUUCGUAUUUGGUAUUUAAUGUGCAUCAAACACCGGGUCUCAGUUCUUCCUUGUACAGUAAGAAGAUCUUAUUUAUGAUUUCCUUCUACUUUUUUUAAAAAGGAAAUAACAUUUGAGGCACUCAUCAGCCCCAUAUUGUUUAUUCUUGUUCCUAUGGAAGCUGUGUGUGUUUUCUUCUUGGAUGCUUGUUAGAACUUUUUAAGAAACAUGAAAGUAAUUUGGACUUGAGUUUCUUCAAUAAAGCAAUAUUUCUACCCAUUUUAUAUUUGAUAAAUAUUUUCAUUACUAGAUAAAAAAAA